rnacentral:tmRNA from 1 species
GGGGGUGAAAUUGGCUUCGACGGGAUUAAAGAGACACUAAACUGCGCACCGUGUUUCCUGCAGACACGUUAAACGGCGGGAAAAAACUUUAAUUGGCGAAUACGAUUACGCUUUAGCUGCGUAAAUUAACGCAGCCGUUCUCUGUUCUCUCUCGUACCGGGGUUCAGAAGGACGCCGUUAGGUAUGAUAGCUGAAUCAACCGCCCUUGUUGAGAAUGCGAAUUCCGCGUCGGCGGACCAAGGGGCAAGCUUAAAGUGAUCCUUGUCUGUUUGGUAGCUUUAAGCUAAAUAAAAACAGAAUAUGUGUGUAGAGGUUUUUUGGAUCUUAAUUUCGGACGCGGGUUCGACUCCCGCCACCUCCACUA